UACGUAGGAUGCUAGCGUUGUCCGGAUUUACUGGGCGUAAAGCGCGCGUAGGCGGCACUGUAAGUAAGGCGUGAAAUAUCCCUGCUCAACGGGGAGGGUGCAUUUUAGACUGCAGAGCUAGAGGACGGUAGAGGGGGGUGGAAUUGCUGGUGUAGCGGUGAAAUGCGUAGAGAUCAGCAGGAACACCCGUGGCGAAGGCGGCCCCCUGGGCCGAACCUGACGCUGAGGCGCGAAGGCUAGGGGAGCGAACGGG
rnacentral:rRNA from 1 species